CACAAGCGGUGGAUGAUGUGGAUUAAUUCGAUGCAACGCGAAAACCUUACCUACGCUUGACAUGUCAGGAACCUCGAAGAGAUUUGAGGGUGCCCGAAAGGGAACCUGAACACAGGUGCUGCAUGGCUGUCGUCAGCUCGUGUCGUGAGAUGUUGGGUUAAGUCCCGCAACGAGCGCAACCCUUAUCAUUAGUUGCUACGCAAGGGCACUCUAAUGAGACUGCCGGUGACAAACCGGAGGAAGGUGGGGAUGACGUCAAGUCCUCAUGGCCCUUAUGCGUAGGGCUUCACACGUCAUACAAUGGUCGGUACAGAGGGUUGCCAACCCGCGAGGGGGAGCCAAUCCCACAAAGCCGAUCGUAGUCCGGAUUGCAGUCUGCAACUCGACUGCAUGAAGUCGGAAUCGCUAGUAAUCGCGGAUCAGCAUGUCGCGGUGAAUACGUUCCCGGGUCUU
rnacentral:rRNA from 1 species